rnacentral:rRNA from 1 species
GACGGAGGGUGCUAGCGUUGUUCGGAAUCACUGGGCGUAAAGGGCGCGUAGGCGGCGCGGUAAGCGUGCGGUGAAAGCCCGGGGCUCAACCCCGGGUCGGCCGUGCGGACUGCCGGGCUCGAGCACUGUAGAGGCGGGUGGAAUUCCGGGUGUAGCGGUGGAAUGCGUAGAGAUCCGGAAGAACACCGGUGGCGAAGGCGGCCCGCUGGGCAGUGGCUGACGCUGAGGCGCGACAGCGUGGGGAGCAAACAGG